rnacentral:rRNA from 1 species
GACGAACGCUGGCGGCGUGCUUAACACAUGCAAGUCGAACGGAAAGGCCCUGCUUUUGUGGGGUGCUCGAGUGGCGAACGGGUGAGUAACACGUGAGUAACCUGCCCUUGACUUUGGGAUAACUUCAGGAAACUGGGGCUAAUACCGGAUAGGAGCUCCUGCUGCAUGGUGGGGGUUGGAAAGUUUCGGCGGUUGGGGAUGGACUCGCGGCUUAUCAGCUUGUUGGUGGGGUAGUGGCUUACCAAGGCUUUGACGGGUAGCCGGCCUGAGAGGGUGACCGGCCACAUUGGGACUGAGAGACGGCCCAGACUCCUACGGGAGGCAGCAGGGGGGAAUAUUGCACAAUGGGCGGAAGCCUGAUGCAGCAACGCCGCGUGCGGGAUGACGGCCUUCGGGUUGUAAACCGCCUUCGCCUGUGACGAAGCGUGAGUGACGGUAAUGGGUAAAGAAGCACCGGCUAACUACGUG